GGGGCUGUAGCUCAGCUGGGAGAGCACCUGCUUUGCAAGCAGGGGUCAGCGGUUCGAUCCCGCUCAGCUCCACCA
rnacentral:tRNA from 2 species